GUGUAAUGCUGCUUAUGUGUGUGGUCAUCUGAGUGCCAGAGUUUGGAUGUGGAGGCCAGAGGACAUCUUUGGGAGUCAGUUCUCUCCUUCCACCAUGGAUCCUGGAAUGAAAUUCAGGUCAUCAGGAUUGCAAGGCAAGCGUUCCUAUCUGCUGAGACAUCUCACGACUUGUUUUUAAGGGUCAUGCCCCUCGCAUCCUGGAGUAAGUUCUCUUCAGAGUGCUGUCCACCCAAAAGGAGAGCAGCUACAGAGCAGGCUUGUGACUACAUAAGCUGCAGUAUGCAGUAUAUCUCCAACGUAAGCUACAUUAUGCAGUAGAUCAUCUCCAAGAGACUCGGCUUCUCAGGUUGCAGUCACAUCAGGAGUCUCCUCUUGCAACCUAACGCUUGGGAUAAGCAGAAGAACUUCUGAGACAGUUGAUGGCUCCAUAGGCUUCAGACCAUAUUUCUCCUCCUAUACUCACACGCUCCUAGUUGGCAUGUGGAAGGAAUACCCAUUUGAGGAAAAAGAUCAUUAACCCCCAAUUUAAUACAUCCUUCACUCAACUUCCAGUUAGUUGAACCC
rnacentral:lncRNA from 1 species